GACGAACCGUGCGAACGUUAUUCGGAAUCACUGGGCUUAAAGCGCGUGUAGGCGGGUCGGCACGUCUGUCGCUGAAAUCCCCCGGCUUAACCGGGGAACUGGCGUAGAUACGACCGUCCUUGAGGGGCGUAGGGGGACCUGGAACUUCCGGUGGAGCGGUGAAAUGCGUUGAGAUCGGAAGGAACGCCCGUGGCGAAAGCGGCGCACUGGACCUUUUCUGACGCUGAGGCGCGAAAGCCAGGGGAGCAAACGGG
rnacentral:rRNA from 1 species